rnacentral:rRNA from 1 species
UAUAGGACGUCCAACUUAACUUGGAGUCCGAACUCUCACUUUCUAACCCUGUGCACUUGUUUGGGAUAGUAACUCUCGCAAGAGAGCGAACUCCUAUUCACUUAUAAACACAAAGUCUAUGAAUGUAUUAAAUUUUAUAACAAAAUAAAACUUUCAACAACGGAUCUCUUGGCUCUCGCAUCGAUGAAGAACGCAGCGAAAUGCGAUAAGUAAUGUGAAUUGCAGAAUUCAGUGAAUCAUCGAAUCUUUGAACGCACCUUGCGCUCCAUGGUAUUCCGUGGAGCAUGCCUGUUUGAGUGUCAUGAAUACUUCAACCCUCCUCUUUCUUAAUGAUUGAAGAGGUGUUUGGUUUCUGAGCGCUGCUGGCCUUUACGGUCUAGCUCGUUCGUAAUGCAUUAGCAUCCGCAAUCGAACUUCGGAUUGACUUGGCGUAAUAGACUAUUCGCUGAGGAAUUCUAGUCUUCGGAUUAGAGCCGGGUUGGGUUAAAGGAAGCUUCUAAUCAGAAUGUCUACAUUUUAAGAUUAGAUCUCAAAUCAGGUAGGACUACCCGCUGAACUUAAGCAUAUCAAUAAGCGGAGGAAAAGAAACUAACAAGGAUUCCCCUAGUAGCGGCGAGCGAAGCGGGAAGAGCUCAAAUUUAUAAUCUGGCACCUUCGGUGUCCGAGUUGUAAUCUCUAGAAAUGUUUUCCGCGUUGGACCGCACACAAGUCUGUUGGAAUACAGCGGCAUAGUGGUGAGACCCCCGUAUAUGGUGCGGACGCCCAGCGCUUUGUGAUACAUUUUCGAAGAGUCGAGUUGUUUGGGAAUGCAGCUCAAAUUGGGUGGUAAAUUCCAUCUAAAGCUAAAUAUUGGCGAGAGACCGAUAGCGAACAAGUACCGUGAGGGAAAGAUGAAAAGCACUUUGGAAAGAGAGUUAACAGUACGUGAAAUUGUUGGAAGGGAAACGCUUGAAGUCAGACUUGCUUGCCGAGCAAUCGGUUUGCAGGCCAGCAUCAGUUUUCCGGGAUGGAUAAUGGUAGAGAGAAGGUAGCAGUUUCGGCUGUGUUAUAGCUCUCUGCUGGAUACAUCUUGGGGGACUGAGGAACGCAGUGUGCCUUUGGCGGGGGUUUCGACCUC